rnacentral:sRNA from 1 species
CAUCUGCAACCGCACAUUUUGUGGUUAGAAGUUUUCUAUCAAGAAACACCUCAAUUGGCGAGUCUAAGUAAAU